GACGAACGCUGGCGGCGUGCUUAACACAUGCAAGUCGAACGGUAAGGCCCUUUCGGGGGUACACGAGUGGCGAACGGGUGAGUAACACGUGGGUGAUCUGCCCUGCACUUUGGGAUAAGCCUGGGAAACUGGGUCUAAUACCGGAUAGGACUACGCGAUGCAUGUCGUGUGGUGGAAAGCUUUUGCGGUGUGGGAUGGGCCCGCGGCCUAUCAGCUUGUUGGGGGGGUGAUGGCCUACCAAGGCGACGACGGGUAGCCGGCCUGAGAGGGUGUCCGGCCACACUGGGACUGAGAUACGGCCCAGACUCCCACGGGAGGCAGCAGUGGGGAAUAUUGCACAAUGGGCGCAAGCCUGAUGCAGCGACGCCGCGUGAGGGAUGACGGCCUUCGGGUUGUAAACCUCUUUCAAUAGGGACGAAGCGCAAGUGACGGUACCUAUAGAAGAAGCACCGGCCAACUACGUGCCAGCCGCCGCCGUAA
rnacentral:rRNA from 1 species